CCCUUCACUACGGAAUAGCCUCUGGAAACGGAGGGUAAUACCGUAUGCGCCCUUCGGGGAAAGAUUUAUCGGUGAAGGAUUAGCCCGCGUCUGAUUAGAUAGUUGGUGGGGUAACGGCCUACCAAGUCGACGAUCAGUAGCUGGUUUGAGAGGAUGAUCAGCAACACUGGGACUGAGACACGGCCCAGACUCCUACGGGAGGCAGCAGUGGGGAAUCUUAGACAAUGGGCGCAAGUGAUCUAGCCAUGCCGCGUGAGUGACGAAGGCCUUAGGGUCGUAAAGCUCUUUCGCCAGGGAUGAUAAUGACAGUACCUGGUAAAGAAACCCCGGCUAACUCCGUGCCAGCAGCCGCGGUAAUACGGAGGGGGUUAGCGUUGUUCGGAAUUACUGGGCGUAAAGCGCGCGUAGGGGAUUGGAAAGUUGGGGGUGAAAUCCCGGGGCUCAACCCCGAACUGCCUCCAAAACUAUCAGUCUAGAGUUCGAGAGAGGUGAGUGGAAUUCCGAGUGUAGAGGUGAAAUUCGUAGAUAUUCGGAGGAACACCAGUGGCGAAGGGGCUCACUGGCUCGAUACUGACGCUGAGGUGCGAAAGUGUGGGGAGCAAACAGGAUUAGAUACCCUGGUAGUCCACACCGUAAACGAUGAAUGCCAGACGUCGGGGGGCAUGCCUUCGGUGUCACACCUAACGGAUUAAGCAUUCCGCCUGGGGAGUA
rnacentral:rRNA from 1 species